ensembl:lncRNA
UGUGUGUGUGAGUGAUGCUGUGGGAUUGUCUCCAGUCAGUAGGUGUGAGUGAUGCGUCAGUAGGUGUGAGUGAUGCUGUGGGAUCGUCUCCGGUCAGUAGGUGUGAGUGAUGCUGUGGGAUCGUCUCCGGUCAGUAGGUGUGAGUGAUGCUGUGGGAUCGUCUCCGGUAGGUGUGAGUGAUGCUGUGGGAUCGUCUCCGGUCAGUAGGUGUGAGUGAUGCUGUGGGAUCGUCUCCGGUCAAGUAGGUGUGAGUGAUGCUGUGGGAUCGUCUCCGGUCAAGUAGGUGUGAGUGAUGCUGUGGGAUCGUCUCCGGUCAAGUAGGUGUGAGUGAUGCUGUGGGAUCGUCUCCGGUCA